UACGAAGGGUGCAAGCGUUACUCGGAAUUACUGGGCGUAAAGCGUGCGUAGGUGGUUCGUUAAGUCUGAUGUGAAAGCCCUGGGCUCAACCUGGGAAUGGCAUUGGAAACUGGCGAUCUAGAGUGCGGUAGAGGGUAGUGGAAUUCCCGGUGUAGCAGUGAAAUGCGUAGAGAUCGGGAGGAACAUCUGUGGCGAAGGCGACUGCCUGGACCAGUACCGACGUUCAGGCACGAAAGCGUGGGGAGCAAACAGG
rnacentral:rRNA from 1 species